rnacentral:lncRNA from 1 species
AUGACGGGCCAGCCUAUCAGGCUCUACCCCCUUUUGUGCAGUUUAAUUUCUGCGAGCAUUCCGCAUAUGGGAGAGAAAAUGGGAGUGUCCGGUUGGCGAAAUCGCGCCAAUUCCAAAUGGGGCCACCACCAGCACCAGCGGCCAAGCCCUCCCGUCCGAAACGGACCUUCCCUAACCAGGAGGUGGAGGAGCAGAGGCCCGCUGGAUCGGCCCUUUGCAACGUCCCGGAGGAAGCCAUGCCAAGGGCCUCUCCGAAAACCAGACAGGCCCCAUCUCCUGAGCAGAACAGGCUGGUGGGCUCGACCUCCGCUUCUUGGAAACCCCGUGAGCCCAAAAGGGGAAGUUGUCCAGAAGGAGGCCUCCAUGCUGCGCAGCAGGAGUCAAGAGGAGGGUUUGUCUCUAGAAUAUCACGGGACGACAUCUCCCUCGAGGGCCGACCUCCUCAUCAGGAGCACCUCUUCUUCCUCCUGUUCCUCCUUUUGUACACCUCCUCAGCAGAAGAGGCUGGCGGGCUCCACCUGCACGCCAGAAGACUUUGACCCUUUCGCCCUGAACAACAUGUACGAGGAGACGAGAGGGCACCUUGAAGGUCACGUCAAAAAGAAAAAGGCCCAGGGUCUGCGUGGGAUGCCUUUUGUGGUCAUAAGGUCGCUCAGGCUCUUCCACGCCCUGCAGGACUAUCGCCUGGAAAGAGGCCCACAAAAGCCAACCCCCAAAUUACAACUGAGGCCCGUCCAGGCGGCGGCUCGAAACCCCCUCGAUGCUCCUCCGUCCAGCCCUGCCAAACCUUUACAGAGACUGCCAGGAACCAAAGCCUUUUCUAUUCUUCACGUGGUGGCAUCGGGGGGGGGGGACCAAGAACUUUGCUUUGUCUCCCCCUGGGGUGCAGCUGGGCAGGAACCGGGCAGCUUUCCAUGGACCCAUGAAGAGAAGUACGUUCUCCUCUCCGUGGAUCCGGACCAACGCCGGCAGCUCCUUUUCCACCUCCAGGUGAUACUUUGUGGGAGGAACCUUAGGCUCAGUCCACACUAG